AAAAAAAAAUUAGUAUAAUUUAAGUUAAUUAAUAAAAAUAAUUUUUAAUAAAAUAUUUAUAUGGGGGUUUAAGUAUUUUUUAAAGAAAAAAUUUUUUAAUUUAUAGUAAAUUAGUAUUGUGAAAGAAUUUUGAAAUAUUUGAAAAUAAAAUUUUAAUUUAAGUAAAUUUUAUUUAUUGUAUCUUGUGUAUCAGAGUUUAUUAAAAAAUUAUUUUAAUAUAAAAUUUUCUCGAAUUUAAAAGAGUUAAUUAAUUAAUAAAUUUACUGUAGCAAAAGUAUUUUUCAUAAUUAAUUAGAAAUGAAAUGUUAAUCGUUUUUAAAUAUAUCUAGUUUUUUUAGAAAAAAAUUUAAUUUUAAAUUAAUUUAAUAAAAAUAUUAAUUAAAAAAUAUUUUUAAAAUAAAAUUUAAUAUAUUAAGGGAUAAGCUUUAAUUUAAAUUUUUAUAAUAAUAUUAAUUUAUUUAAUGAAAUUUUUAAAAUUUAUAUUGUUUAAAAAUUAUAGUUUUUUAUAAAUAAUUUCAUUAAAAAUAAAAUUUAAUAUAAAUUUAAUUUUUUAUAAAAAAAUAAAAUUUAAUAAUAAAUUUUUAGUUAUAAUGAUAAAAUUAGUAUAAAUAAAUAUAUUUUUAUAGAUUAAAAUUAAUAUAUAAAUUUAUUUUAUAAUUAAUUAUAAGGAAUUCGGCAAAAAUUUAUAUUCACUUGUUUAUCAAAAACAUGUCUUUUUGUUUAAUAAUUAAAAGUCUAAUCUGCCCACUGAUAAAUUAUUAAAGGGCUGCAGUAUUUUGACUGUACAAAGGUAGCAUAAUCAUUAGUCUCUUAAUUGGUGACUUGUAUGAAAGAUUGGAUGAGGUAUAUACUGUCUUAUUUUUAUUAAUAGAAUUUAAUUUUUUAGUUAAAAAGCUAAAAUGAAUUUAAAAGACGAGAAGACCCUAUAGAGUUUUAUAUAAAAUAUUAAUUAAAAAUUUUUUUAUUAAUUUUAAAUUAAAAUUAAAUUUUAUAUUUUAUUGGGGUGAUAAAAAAAUAAAAUAAACUUUUUUUAAAUUAAUAUAUAUAUAUAUAUAUAUAUAUAUAUAUAUAUAUUUAACAUAAAUAAAUGAAUAAAUGAUCCAUAAUUUAUGAUUAAAAGAUUAAAUUACCUUAGGGAUAACAGCGUAAUUUUUUUUUUUAGUUCGUAUAAAAAAAAAAGUUUGCGACCUCGAUGUUGGAUUAAGAUAAAAUUUAAAUGCAAAAGUUUAAAAUUUUGAUCUGUUCGAUCAUUAAAAUCUUACAUGAUCUGAGUUCAAACCGGUGUGAGCCAGGUUGGUUUCUAUCUUUAAAUAAAUAAAAUAUUUUAGUACGAAAGGAUCAAAUAUUUAAAAUAAUUUUAUAAUGUUGAAUAUUAAUAAAUUAAUGUAUAAAUUAAAUUUAUAAACUAUUUUGGCAGAGAAGUG
rnacentral:rRNA from 1 species